AAUAAAUAAAAUGCAGGCCUGACACGGGAUUUUUAAAAAACUGAGUAAUGGCAGGCAGCAAGACAAUCCCAGAGAGAUGAAGUGAAUGACCCAAGGUUACACAGGAUGGAACCUAUAUCUUCUGAUUUCUCUACUGGCCUGCACUCCACGUUCUGAGGAGGAGUCCUUGAAGCUACUGAGAUAAUGGAACAAUGGAGUAGAUAGUCCAUUAUAACUCAUCUGGGAUUCUUCUCAACUUCAAGUGACCACAGGUGGAAACAUGGUCUGGUAACACCACGCUUCCGGAUGUGAUUGUGGAGCUGGAUUGCUUAACCUGGGCUAAGUC
ensembl:antisense 1600020E01Rik RIKEN cDNA 1600020E01 gene